CGGCAGCAGUGGGGAGGUAGGCACCAUUGACCUCUCGUGGCCUGACCCGCUGAAGGUGGCAGUAUCUUGUGUUGACUUACGGUGUGGAAACUGUCCUCACCAUAUACCCCUGCAGGUAGAAGGGCACUCGAAAGAUCAUCCUGUUCUGUCCUGUGUACUCAGAACCUGUCCUGGUCAGUUUCUUGUCUCUACCUGAAGGCUGAUGGUCUUUAAGUUCCAAUUUCCCUCUCCUGGUGGGCUGUGUCCAGACAGCUUUCGCUCACAGAGCAGACGUUCUCCAGGUGAGCGUCACCCCACUUCCUGGGUCGGUUCUUUGAGAGGCCACGCCUGGCUACAUGCUGUAUCUACCUGGCUACACAUAUCAGGACCGCUUCCCAGCCAGCCUCACAUCUUGCCUGAAUUCCUGUGCUAGCUGGUGUCCCUGCUUCUACCCUUGUCCCAGAUAAUUCACUUUCCGUCUAUACAAACUUUUGAAAGCGGGAGUCAGAUCAUAUCAUGCACUUACUUAAAAUCCUCCAAAGGGUUACAGCAGAUCAAGUCAAAUCAAGUCAAAUCACACCCAGAUUUCUUAAGGUAUGUUACGGGUUGAACUGUGUCCUCCCCAAAUGAUGUUGAAGUCCUAACUUAUUUGGAGGACUUAUUUGGAAUCCACAUCUUUGCACGUGAUCAAGAUGUACUUAGUAGGGUAGGGCCAUAGUCCAAUAUGACCGCUGUCCUUUUAAAAGGGAAAUUUGGCUAAGAGACAGACAUGCACGGAGGGAAGACAGAAUGAACACACAGGGAGAAUUGCAUCAACAAGCCAAGGGAUGCCUGAGGCCACCAGAAGCAGGAGAAAGGCCUGGAACGGUUUCUCCCUCACAGCCCCCAGAAGGAACCAAACCCUGCUGACACCUUGAUCUUGACUUGCAGCCUCCAGAACCGUGGGAGAAUAACUUCCCGUUCUUUAAACAGGAAAUUAAUACACCGGAUGGCAAAGCCCUUGGAGUAUUCUUACUCCCGACCCACUGUGCAUUAAUGCUUCUCGAUUGGGGCAGCACGGGGGGAGGGGUUUUUGGUAGCUAGGACCAGGGGCUUUACUGGCAUUUAAUGGGCAGCGCGGCCAGGGAUGCUAGAAAUCCCUAAAUGCAGGAAAGAAUCCCACACAAUAUUGCCACUCAAAGCCUCGCAGAGAAUAACUGCAACACGCAGGCUGUCAUUCAAUUCUGUAAACCUUUCCCCUUUCCCAACAGCUCAGGGCCUUUGUACGAGCCGUUCCCUCUGCCUGGAAGGCUCCCUACCUGCUCUCCGUGUGGUUUAGAUCUUGACUUAGAUGCGAUCUUCUCAGAUAGACCCUCCAGACUGCAAACUAUCCACUUGUCCACUCAAUUUCAUCAGUCUUUGAAAAAGCAUUGCAUUGACAGCAUUAUCACUAUUUGACUUUUUUAGAAAACCGAUGAGAUUAUUUGUCUCCUCCCACUAGAAUAUAAGCUUCCUGACAACAAGGACUGUGUUUUUAUGCCCAGGAUCUACAGCAGAGCCUGGCACGUAGAUGGUGCUCACGUAUAAAUGUUGGUUGAAUGAAUCAAUCAUGAGCCCUGAAGCUGGAGAUCCAUGAAAGCCUGGGGGUCAGGGGAGGGGAAGGAAGAGAUGGGGGAAAAAAUAGGGUGGGAUAGAGGGUGGGCUUGGUAAAGUGUGGGGGGAGAGGGGAGAAGGCGUUGGUAGGGUAGAGAAUUUAACAGCAGCCAGACUUUCCAGAAAGUUCUCAGGCCAUGGAACAAGAUUGCACAGAUUCCUGGAAGAGCCUUCGGUGGAACAGCCUUGCUUCUUCAUACAGGAAGGAAUAGGCUUGUGGAGUUCAUUAUCCCCAGAAUGGUGGAGCCUGGAAAACAGAACCAGCUCCUGUAUGGUUUAAGAGGAACUCACAGGUGACGGCUGACAUGUUGGCUUUUGAUGGGCUAUUGGGGUAAUUGGGAGCCAGGUGGCAAAAACCCAGCUACAGAGUUGACAUCGAGAAGGACAAGCCCACCGUCCAUGGAAUACCCUUUCAUGUCUCUGUGAGAGCCAGGCCUGGGCUGCAGGGGGCCUAGACUUCCCCAGUAUGGCCAUCGUUGGUUUUUAGAGGCUUGUCUCUUCCUUGAAAAGAUAUACGAUAUUCAACGAGCUUCUACAAGGACCUUGAAAUGGAGUCAUUUCAAAGGACAUCCAGUCAUGAAAACACUGUUAUGUUUUUCAAGCCAGUUGCAGCCUUUACUUUUCCCUUAGAAGUCCUCUGUUUUACUUAGUUUGCUUUAUAUAAAGUUUCAUUUUCCAUCUUGUUGCACACUCAGAACUUUGGAGGCAAGAGACACGUUCUCAACAGGGCGAGAGAUGGCCUGCGUUGUAACUCUAUCUCUGCCGCUAAUUUGCUGGGUGACCUCCAGUGUUUUACUUAACCUUGGAAGGGCCUCAAUUAUUCUAUAGAAAAUUCGACGGAAUACAUUACACCCCAGGGGACCGGUGUGGUGAAAGAGUGCAAUAAUAUAUGUGAAAGCACAUUGAGGAACUUUCUGUCUUGCCUUCCUUUUCCUUCAUUUUGUUAUUUCAACUCUUGCCCGAGACCCUUCCCUCCCAGGUGGCCCCUCACCUUUCUUACCACCUUUCCUUCACACAGACUUCCCAAACUUCAGUCAAUCAUGUCCCCAAUUCACAAUUUGUGAUAUGUUUGAGUACCAAUCGCAUUAUUAUUUGCUGAAUAUUGUCUUUAAGUCGGCUGGCUCACUUUUUAAUUUAAAACGGUUCACUUGGAAAGGAAAAAAUGGGGGCACUAGGGUGGCUCAGUCAGUUGAGUGUCUGGCUCUUGAUUUCGGCUCAGGUCGUGAUCUCAUGGGUUCGUGAGAUUGAGCCCCACGUGGGGCUCUGCACUAACAGUGCAGAGCCUCCUUGGGGUUCUCUCUCUCUCUCUCUCUCUCUCUCGCCCUCUGCCCCUUCCCCACUCAUGAUCACACACACUCUCUCUCUCAAAAUAAAUAAAUAGCCUUUUUCAUUAAAAAAAAAAGAAAAGGCAAAAAUGUGCAUCUGUAUAUAUAACGACAACCGGACCAUAAGUUUUGUCGAGCAUAUUGUCUCCAACACACGUUGUAUCAGUACAUGUUCAUUACAGUUUAAAGAAUAAAAACAUUCGCGGAGUCCUGGCUUAAGUACCCCUCCUCAGUCACACCUUCUCCAGUGCACCCCCACUCCGACUAAGUCGGUCCCCCUGUCACAUACACUUGUUUCCUCUUCUGUGACACUCUUUUCUCCCACAGGUGAUCACCACCUCACAUGUGCCUCCUCUGCUAGACUGUAAGCUCCAUGUGGGCAGGAGCUGUGCUUCCACAUCUAGGCUGUAGCAUCAUGCCUGGCGCAUAAAAGGUAUUCAGAAACAUGUUGUGCAAUUAGAUAAAAAGUUCACCUAUGUACUGACCUAAGAGUGUGUCAAGACUGACUAGCGGAAAACUGCAAUGCACGGCAUGUUCUUUCUUCCAUCCCUCUGCUUUCCAAUCUGGGGACACUAGGGGUACUUGUAAGCAGCCUGGUCAUAGCUCUGGGAUACGUAGUUAGGAGUCUAGACACUUCCUCUAUUGGUCCAAGUUUUAAGAGUUGAUAUGAGCAGGGUAAAGAGCUUAGGGCUAUGGGAUUCUCAAAGCUAUGAGUUCUUGGAAUGUGUAAGUAACGGGUAAUUGGCAACUUUUCCAGCCCAACAGACUUCUUCCCAUAUAAAGUAUAUUUCCACAGAGAGUGUUUUGUUGUUGUUGAUCAUGCCGGGGCAGGACUUAAAUCUCCACAGAAACCCCAGAGGAGGCCCUAAACCUUAUUUGUACCUGUUGUUCCCUUGACCUCCCACAUCUGGUUCUGUUCUAAAUUUCCACAAGUUUCCAAACGUCUGAGCAAGAGAUCAUGGCAGACAUUGUAGAUGUCUUGGCAAGUGUCUGGUUCUCCAUGGGUACUGAGUCCUUGACAGAGGUUUUCUAGAAAAAUGAUGUGCUCCUUAUCUAUUUGCUAAUUCCUUCCACAUAUCACAAGACUUUUCUGUAAAUUCCCAUCAGUCUUGACAAAGUUAUCUUGUAGACUUAUGUAGUGAUUUUGAUGGCUGCACAGAGCUGUUUGUCUUGUUCAGAACGAAAUUAAUAACACCACGAUGGCACCUACUUUAGCACCAAACUUCUUAAACUCUCCUAAUAUACUAAUCAGCAUGUCAGGGAAAUAUUUUUUUUCUGGAUAAAGACAAGCCUGGUGAAAUGGAUUAGACAUUCACACGGCAUUGCAUAAUUCAGCAUGCCAGGGCGGUGCAUACGAUUUGCAUUAAUAGCCAGCUCUGGAAGCUGCUGCUCAUAGGUUUCUCUCAUUAGGUCGAAUAUCGAAGAUUCCAGACUGUCAAUCAAUUACAGUAAUUUCCUUUUCCAUAUUUAUUCCAUCACUAUCAUUGACAGCUACCAUUAAGUGACAUUAAUACAAUGCAAUAUCAUCUCGCAUUUCUACAGAGCGUCUCAGGGUGCCUAACGGUUCCACUCCAGCCAAGAAAUCACAUUACCAAGGACAAAGUACCCUCAUUCUCGAGGUGGAAAAUAGGCUGCCAACUCUUGGAACCAGUGGGAGUUGCCCAGAAUCUCUGGAGAUGCUCCUGACUUCCGGGCAAGGGGGUUUAUUUUUUGUUGUCUGAAAAUACCCGAGGCUGGGUCUCGGGCGAGUGGGGCGGCUUAGUGGGUAGUGAUGACUUUCCAGGGACCCCACUCACCUACAUCCCCUGCCUCUUCUCACCCUUGAUUUAGGACGUGUUUACAGGGCAGAGGGGGCCCUUGUGGAAGAAUGAGGUUCUUCCUUAGACGGGCUGCAGUUACCAUAUGCUACUCUCUUGCAGGGCUUUCUUCCUCCAUACCCGCCCCCCCCCCGCCCCGCCCAACCAACGACAAUACCAUCGGCACUUUGACUCAGAAUGCAACAAAGCCCUCCUUUGCCAGACAAAUUAUUCAUAUAUGCUGAGAUGCCAGCGUUGGUAUAUCCUCCCUUCUCCUUCUGUCGUUUCUGUAGUCAGUGAUAAUCAGGAUUGUGCUACACAGAAGCCAUCUCUGUUGCCCAAGUGUCACCAACUGAAUCUACGGAAUAUUCCUUUGCUCGGUUUUGGGUGACACCCCAGGAGGGCUUCCAGAUAAAUUAUAGAAUGCCCAAGUUAUAUUUGAAUUUCAGAUACACGAUAAUUUUUUUUAGUAUAAAUAUGCUCCAAAUACCGUGUAGAACGUGCAAAGAUGUUCAUCAUUUCUCUGAAAUGCAAAUUUAACUGAGCAUCCUGUUUUGUUUUGUUUUGUUUUGUUUUGUUUCGUUUCGUUUCCAAAUCUGGCAACCCUACCCAUCAGGUGAGUCAAAGGCUUCAGAACCAAGCCAAUCAAGCUACUGAAAUCCUAGGAGAAGUCAAAUCAAGACAGUACAUCUACAUUGAGCUGAAGUAUUUGCAAAGUGCCGUGCUCAUAGCUGUGGGAGACGCAACACCGUGUCAGAUCUGGCGAGAAAAUAGAACAGGAGAGGAAUGGCCACAGGCCAGAGAGAGACUACGGUACGAGUGUAAAAAGUUUGGCUCAAGAACUAUCGAAAAGCAAAAUAGUAGGAAGGAUGUUUCUAGUGGUUCUCUUCAUCCAUAACCUUUUGUGAUGGCUUCUUGCAAAGUGCGGCUUCUGCUCCACAGCUCGGGAGGAGGUUGGCGAGACCGGAGAAGAACAUUCUCUGACACGCAAGGAGGCUUGUGGGCACAGCACCUGCCUUAGUCUUUUAUUGCUGAGGUAAAGCAAACAUCAACUUGAUUGAUGAUCUGGGAGAGCCUGGGGGAAACAAUCGAUAGGUAUUUGUGGACUGGAUGACUGACAGAUUUUUGAGUAGGGAGUGCAUGAUGAAAGGUAUUGUACCAAGACUAUUUUGGAGGUGUUGUGUGGGAGAACAGAGGGACUAAGGCCCCUCUGAUAAGUGGGGGGGGGGGGGGGGAAUCAGCCAUCUGCUCUGAUGGGCCGGUCGUGCCUAAGCAUCCACAUCGGGUAACACCUGACCUUGCCAUCCCUCCUCGCUCUAUCACCUAGCAUCAGGUAGCUUAGGGUGCCUCGAGCACUCAUGAUUAUUGGAGCAAAUUAUUAUUUCUCUGCUGCUUCUGAGAGCUGGAAGAAUAAUUAUACACUGGGGGAGGGAAGUAUGGAAAAAAAAAUAAGGGGCAGGAUUGGGGCAGAGAGAGGACAACAUUAAAAAAAAAAGUAACUUAAAGAAAAAAUGGAUGAGUUGGAGAGUAGGGUGUCAUUCUUUUUGUUUCGGUCUGUUUUUAAUUUUCUGAUAAUUACUAUUUGUGUGGUUGGGGAUAAGGAACUAUCUGCCUUGUACUUUUGUUUCUGUUUCUGUAUGGCAAACUUCAUUCUUAUUUUUAAUGGCUUUUCAAGCUGUGAAGAAACUUUAUCGAGUAUCCAGCAGCAAGAGCAGAGCCAAGACUGGAGAACAGGUCUUUCUUGCUCCAAGACUUGCCCUGAUUCGCUGCCUCGGUGGCUGUCUCCCAGCUGAAAAGCUACUCUCCAGUUUCACAGAUGUGCUUGUUGAUGAAACCACACAGAUAAUCUAUUGCUUUCACGUGCCUUCACUGUACUCUAUUUUAGUGUUUGGUACAAAAAAGAAACUUACUGUCUGGAUUCAGCAUAACCUAGUCUGCCUCUGUGAUAUGAUUUAUUUGCAAAGGGAUCAGAACAUAGACUCCCUUCGAUCUUUUAACCUUCUAGGAAGGCCAACCCCUUUGGAAAAAAAUAGUAUUUAAGGCAGUGGUAAAGAGAUUAUCUGGUUAUUUGGUAAAAUAGUCAACCAUAAUAUUCUACAAAAAGAACUCUAAUCCAAUGACAACCCAUAGAAAGAAACAGCAACAGAACAAUGGAAGUAUGUGUGAUCCUUUUAAAGACUUGUGUCUGAGGAGGACGGGAAGGCUUUUGAGAUCCUGGGAGAGGAAAAGAAUAUCAGAGCUGAAAAGGAUCUUUGUGAUCCUUAAAGCUGCUUGAAGGUUGGGAAGGAACAAAUGAGACCAUACCCAUGUAAUAAAACUAAGGUGAUCAUACUUCUCCCACAGAGCCUGUUUGGUAACCAAGAAUGAGUAAGUGACUCAAGAAUUUAAAAAUUUAGUAAAAGAAGAAGGGAUCCAACCUACAAAUUCCCCUCCUCUCUCUCCUUCCCUUGUGCUUUGUGUCCCCAGGUUCUUUGUAACUUAAAUAAUUAAUAGUUAAUAGAAAGGUAACUGCUACUCAUGCUUUUGCCCUUGUGGCAACCUUGAAGUGAGGCUCUGCAUUUCCGUGUGUUUCCCUCAACAGAAAUUCACUCCACAACAGAGAUUGUACUGAAGAUUUAAUUUAUUUUUUAUUAUUUUUAAGUUUUAAUUUUUAAAAAAUAUUUUAUUUUUAAGUAACCUCUACACCCAACGUGGGGCUUGAACUCACGACCCAGAGAUCAAGAGUUUCCCUGCUCCACGAACUGAGCCAGCCAGGCACCCCUGUAUUUUUAAAUUUUAAUGUUAAUUUCAGUGUAAUUAACCUACCGUGUCAUAUUAGUUUCGGUGCAAAAUGGAGUGAUCGGACAAUCCUCUACGUUUCCCAGCGCUUGUCAAGAUAAGCUGUACUGAAGAUUUUAUCAGGAAAACUGAAGAGGGGAUUUACAUCUCACAACGUUCAGACUUCACUUCUCAAUUUGCUGUCAAGCUCUCUCCUCUCAAUUUUAUUCUCAGCUGUUGGCCUUUGUAUCUUUUAAGCCUUCCACAGAGUCGUUUCUCAAAGUUAGUGAAUUCUAACCCCCAUCCCCAUGACUCUUUUGCAGAAAAAUUUAGCUAUUUCUCACCUCUCUCAGUCCUUCGCACCAGCCACCCACAGCACCGUGGGCACUCAGCCUUAGAUUAGGUUUUAUCAGAGCAUUCCUCCUUAAAAUGCACAUCUCUGCUCCUUGCAAGGGAUUCAUGUAAAACUGCUAAGGAAAAUGAGAUUUUCUUUGCAGCGCCACAGGGACAUAAUUUAUAAGGGAGCAAUCAAUGUCUGGCAACAUUUACCAUCUGCUUCGGAUUUCUUAGUUUUUAGGUUACUUGCUGACUUCUCCAAAGCUAGAGGUUGGGCUUGGUGGCCGUGGAGAUAAAUCGACUCCUGUCUGAUCACUUUUAGAGGAUGACAUCAGUCCUUUCCUCACUGUUGAGUGUUCGCAAAGAAUUCUGAGUGAUAUUUACUCCAGUAGCUGGGAGAGAAAAUGACCUUCUGUUCUGUAAUUUCUCCAUCCAUGGGGAGUGGCCAACCACCUUUCUUUCCUUCUCUUUUUCAGGGGCUACCCUCCUUGGAAUUUCCCCACUGUCUCUCAUGGGGAUCAUGAACUUUGGCUUUCCCUGUGAUGCGAAUUCCUUUAUGACCACACUAAAUCUCAGACUCUAAGAGCUUAGAAUUACUGUGUUAAUUUUCAGAUUUUGAUAUUAUUGGUUGCUUAUCCUCUUGGAAACACUAGAGAGUCUCCUGCAUAUGGCCCUUGGGAACUCCAAGAUGUUUGCUCCAAAGUCGUCUUGUGAAAAUUCUUUCCCCCUCGACAGUAACCCACCCUCUUGGAGUUUUAUGUUAUUUCACACGAAUGGUACUCACUAAGAGUCACGUUUUCUGAUGUGAAAAUCAUGCUUGACGUAUACCUGACAUGUACCAGACUAUCCAAGAUGUUUGUUAAAUACAUCUGGAAAGCUCAGCAUAUGUUGUUGGGUUUUAGACCCAUGUAAGGAGCGCCUUCUCAGAGGCCAUUGCAUUUCCCUGCUCAUCAUUUGUCUUCCUGAUUUCUGUCACUUUUCUCUUCCCCUUCUGACUCACCUGUGAUAUUCUUUGAUCACCUCGUCACUAUUUGAUUGGUGAUUCUGCUCAAGCCCAAGAAUUUUGCCCCCUCUUUCUCAACUUAUUGGUUUCUAUGGUGCAUCUUCCUUUUCAAGAUUUCUUUCUAGGUCAGACAUGUCCCCUCACCAUUCUUCCUCUGAUUUGACGUAUGUCACCUCCUAAGGCAUAGCAGCUGCCAUAUGCCAUCCCCUCCCCGUGCACCUGCUCCCUCCCCACCAGACCUUCCAGUAGCUACGGCUGCCCAGUAAUUCCAUGUCCUCCUUCUCACUGGGCUUCAUUUUGAUCCUUGUCAUUCAAGGGGUAACCGUGCAGUGAUCUUUCCCCUUCUCUGUCCACUGAGUUCAUGUACAACUUACAAUCCAAACAGUUUCUGGUUGUUGGCUUGCCUGACUGUAACCUCUGCUAUUUAGUCUUGCUGUCUGUCCCUUCCUCCAGAUACUCCCGGUCAUCUUUCAUCUCUGGGGUGGUCAGUAGUCACCCCAAGUUGUUUCCUUUUCUUUCUUUCCUUUCGUUCCCUUCUCAUGAUUUUUUUGAUCAUUCUUUAUUCUUUUUUUUUAAUUUUGAAUAAUCAUGGAUGUGUAAAAAGUAGCAAUGAGAGCAAAGAUAGCCCAGACCCCGUACCCUUUUCCCAGUCCCCCCCACGCUCACAUUGUACAUAAUUGGAGUACGAUAUCAGAACCAGGAAAUGGGUGUUGGUACACGGCAUGGGAGGAGUUCUAUGCCAUUCUAUCAUAUGUGUAGAUUCAUGGAACCAUCAACACGCAGAGCUAUUCUAUCACCGCGGAUAUCUCCUUCAUGCUACACGUUUUUAAUCAUACUCACCCACCAUCCCUGCCCCUAUGACAACUGCUAAUCCAUUUCCCAGUUCUGUAAUUUUGCCAUUUUGAGAGUGCUGCCUAAACGCUGUUGUAUCGUAUGUGACCUAUUGAGACUUGCUUUUUUCUCAUUCAGCAUAAUGCCCUUGCAGUCUGUCCCAGCUGUUGUUUGUAUCGAUAGGUGACCCUUUUUUAUUCCCGACUAGCAUUCCAUGGCGUAGAUGUACAUUGGCCCAUUGAAGGCCAUUUUGAUUGUUCCUAGUUUUUGCCCAACAAAUAAUAGUUUCUCCCUUUUUGUAUUUUUCUUUCAGGCUGCUACUUACUUAUAGCAGAUGUUUGCAGGAAAAGAAAACUUUGUGUAAGGGAAGACUUACCCAUUGGUUCUUAUAACUAAUGGAGACCCGUAGGUAUAACCUAGAGUUAUUGACAAUGUAGAUAAACAGUUUUCUUUUCGGAGAUAGGAUUGGUUUUUUGUCUUGGCAUCUGGACUUAAACCUUCCGGUCCAAUUCUUGUUUGUCAGCAAAUACCCUGUGUGGGGUGAAUGCACUCGCCUUCGCCUCCACAGUGGUGUUCCAAUAUAAAUUUUGAUCACAAACAAAAAUGAGGUUUCGUUAUUUUAAGUUAGGAUGUUAAUUUUAAAUGACUACAUGGUUACAAGGGCUUUGGUGCCUGUUCAGGAAAGCCUUCAAGUUAUUUCUGGCAAAACAGAUUGAAACUAGUGGCCUUUAGAACUCAGUACUCAAGGGAAACAAGGCAAGCUGCGUUUGACCCGAAGGUGGGGUCACCCAGUGGCAUUUGCUAAAGGAAAAAAUUUGUAGGCUUAUUUUCCAAAUGAGUUUAAGGUUCAGUAUUUUGUUAGCUCUGCAUGUGUUUGAGAGGGAACUCCUGGACGCCGGUGGGUAGGUUCAUCUUGGUUCUAGUAAAUGAGUGGAUUGGCCUGACAUUUUUGGCAUGCGUCAAUGAAGGAUGACAUAGGGUUUCCCUGCUGUGAGUAACUUGGCUUCAUUUUAUGUUUGAAGAUUUCACAUAUUUGCAUAAUGUCCCAGUUGAGGUGAUUAUAUGGCAGAGGAAUAAAAGUGUAAAUAUUCAAAGGUUAGCGGACACUUGAGAGUCUUUCAGAGCGAAAGGGGAUUUAACACAUGUGAAACAGAAGUUUGGACUGGCACAUUAAGAUUUUUUUUGGGGGGGGUUCCUUAAAGUUCGCAGGAAAUUUAAAGUUUUGAUCCUUUAAAACUGUCAUCAGAGCCUUCUCUCUUUUAUAAAGUUUCUAGGUCUUGGGGACAUUCAAUUUUGGUUAACACAUUGGAGAAAGUAAGAUCCCACUCCCUAUCCCUCCCCCACCUCCCCACCGCUUCCCUCCCCUAAAUUUGAAUGCUCCGUAACACCUGGGAGAUUAGAGUGCCUCCUAUUCAAGUAAACUGUAUCAGGAAGAACUGAAAGCACUUUGUAGCUUUAUCUACUGAAGCCCUAAUUUCCUUCCAGGUAGGCAGAGGAAGGUGGAUAGGCCCUGUGGAUCUCUGCAUUGAGUGACGAGCUCUGAGUCACCAAAGUGAGUCACCGGCAAAUGGGGAUGACGCUUUCCACCCAGGCUGAUGUUCUCAGACUGGCGUUUUCAGCAUUUGUUUUUACCAUAUCCCAAGUAAGUCUCGUGAGAUGACUCUCAGAUUCACAUGAAAGUUUUGAACGACUUUUAACCCAAAAAGCUGAAAAGGAAAAAACAAAACCGCCAUUGGAAGGUUUCUUCGGAGGCGUUCUAGAAAAGUCCAUCCCGAGGCAGCGUUGUAGCUCAAGAAAGUGUGGCACAUUUUUUUCCAGUGGUCUCUCUUUCAAAAAAAGUUGCUGAUCAGAGUUCUUGGGCUCGCCUUUAGUAAUACUGUGAACAUUGCAGUAAUCAGAAUUCUGCAUUAAUCAGUCUUUCUGCGCAUCUGCAACGUGAAGACUGAUACUGGUAAUGAUGACUCAGGCGUGAAACGUCUUGGCUCUGAAUGACCGAAAACCAGAUUUCACCGAGCUUGUUGCAGUGUUGGUGUUUACGCCUGCCACCAUAUUUGAACCCUGUAAAGAGUGAGAGCAUCCAUGACUUGCCACGGUGGCAGUCUAAUGAGGACGGUAUUUCAUUCGCUGGUGCUUCUGGGUCGUGGAGUUUCCAGUUAUAUCCUCCCAGGCAGUGGGGCUUCUAAGCACACAACCAUCCAGAGGCCUGCUGGGGCCUGGCUUUUAUCACACCAAGCAUUUCAAAAACAACGGUGGGGAUCUGAGAGAGCGAUAGUGCUAGAAGCUGAGAAGUGGGACAGAGCAACGGUAAGAAAGUUUAGCCAGCGCCUAUUAUGUGCCAAGCACCGUGCGAGGGGCUUUGAUCCAUGUUGUUUCAUUUGUCACUGAGACACGACAACUGACAAGCGACGGGAGCGUCACCAGGGGAGGUCUGGGGUGGUGUGGUUGAGGAGCAAAGCCUCAGAAGACACGUGUAGAGGUCAGGGUGCUUGCGGCGGCAGCUACUAGAACACGGGAAAGUGGCCUAAGUGAUACGGACAUAUAUUGACUCAGACGAGGUCCAUCCAGUGGCUCAGUAUGAUCAUAAGAACCCAGGUUCUCACCAUCUCUGUCUGAAGGCCCUAGGGAAGAUGCCUUUAGAAGUCCUUCCUCACCUUUUCCAGCUUCUAGUAAUUCCUUGGCUUGUGGCUGUUCAACUCCAAUCUCUGCCUCUGUCUUCACAUGGCCUUCUUCUCUCCAUGUCUCUGUCUCCACGUGCUGUCCAUUUCUGUCUCUCAUAAGGACACCUGUCAUUGGAUUAGGACCCUCCAGACAAUCCAAGAUGAUCUCAUCUCAAAAUCCUUAACUUAAUUGCAGCUGCAAAGACCACGUCCCCACAUAAAGUUACCUUCACAGGUUCUGGGAUGUGAACACAUUUUUUUUCGAAGGCCACCACUCAGCCCACUACGAUGGCCUCAUUUUUUUCUCAGAUGGUGGGUAUGGACAUAUCUGACAAGGAUGGAACUUCCUGUCAUCAGUUCUUGGCUUCCAACCCAAGGAUUGGCGUUAUCACCAAAAUGAACUGCUUACCAAAAGACGAGUUGCAGGUUCCAGAAAGGACAGACUCUAUCCCACAGAAUCAUCUCGUUUCUUGCUUUAUUGAUUGCCCCAUGCAACGUACAUGUAUGGGAAAGAGCUUCUGAGAUAUACCAGUGAGUGACCGUCAAUUUCUUUAGAUUGUAUCUCUAAGUGUUCUUGAAUCUUUUGUACCCCUUCCUUAACGUCUCCACCGCCUUACCAAAUCCCCAUCAUUUGUCACCUGGAUUACGUCUUACUUGUCCCUAUUCUCCCCAGCCUCCUUUCUCCGUAUUGCUGCCUGAGGAGCUGCCUGAAAUUCCAGUUGGGCGUUUCCUGCCUGGUGCUAGAUUGCUUGUUUGUCCCUGCAAAGCCAUCCUUCCACACCUGGCCUUUUUCCUCCAAAGCUCCUUCUCCCUCUGGCUUCUGGUUGGGUUUGGCAAUGGGGGUACUGGUGAGAUGAGGUGGGAGGCGUGGGAGCAAGGAGAGGGGCCAUUCGUCUCCCUCACUCCUUCCCCGGAGGUCCUUGCCCCCGGCAUCCCUCAGUCGAUGCCCCCAUUAGGAGAAUUCUCACAUGGCUGCCUUCCAAGUUUUAAUAACUGUCUCCCUCCUCACCCUUCCAGGCCCAAGGAUGGCAACAGGACCUCUUGUGGUUUCCCGACGCCCUGCCUACACCUUUGAACAUAACCCCAUCGUCAACUCUUCUCGAAUUACCCAUCUCAGUGUUUCUUAGCCUGCACCAUGACUGAUACAGCCGGGCUGUAAACACGUCACUGACUCUACCUUGCCCAGAGGAGGAAGCAACAUCCCUCAGGAGGGGGGCAAGAUUCCACCCUUGCCACAUCUUGAGACACGCUUUCCGCACGCUGGCGGACGUGUGGUUUCCUGAACGCAAGGUGUUCUUUUUCUUCUUGGAGAUUCUGUAACUGAUGAUUUCUUUCCUGGCUUAGCUGCCUGGACAGUGUCUUUUCUUCCUUCAAGACUGUUCAAGGAUCACCUGUUGAUUUUUUCUGGCUUUCCUAGGCAGGAUGGGCUGCUUCCUCUCCUAUGCUCCCUUAUCACAUGAUAUGCAUGCCCAUUAAAGCUUUUUUCGUUGCUGCGAGUUUUUGUUCCUAUGUCUGCUUUCCAACCAGUCUUGGAAUCCUCUGAGUGUAUUCUGUUUUCCUUUGUUCUCCGAGUACCUGCUGUUGUCCCUGGUGGGCUUAAUAAACAUAUUUUGAAUGACUAUAUUUUUCUUUAUUCACUGUAUUAC
rnacentral:lncRNA from 1 species